AGACUGUCAGGAGCUUUUACAGAAAGAGCCAGAGACGAAGGAAGGCAAGGAACAGAUUGGAAGCUGCUGGUGAGGUUGAAACAGAAGAAGGUUACGUCAUGUGUAACCUUGGACGUGGCGCUGUGUGUCUGCUGAUCACCAAGGGGCUUUGUGUGUGCUGUUGACCAUAGGGGUGUGUGCAUGCUCUUAUUGCUGUUAAUGUUAUGAGUGGGCUCUCACUUCUUCUCUUGUAUUAAGUUAUACCAGUGACACUAGCAUUUCUCUAUCUUUGAAAUCCUCUUUAUACAAGGCUUAUGGGUUUCAUUACUGAAAUUUCACAAGCGUCUUAAGUUUUAUUGGGGUCGUAAAUAAACACGCUGUAAGAUGCAAAACUA
rnacentral:lncRNA from 1 species